GCUCAACUAAAAUAUUUUCUGCCAGCUUUCAAAGACGAUAUAACUGUGCAAAAGUGCUCUGCCAGCAUAAACAAGCCGCUAGUUAAUGUGCAUGCCCCAAUGGUUAAAUAUAAUAAUAAUCCACUUGCCAACGACGACGACGAAGCUCCACGGGAACCGCUGCACGAUUGCGAUGAUGAUGGCUAUGAGGCAGACGAUAGUGACACGGAUGGAGGCAAAGGCAACCCGGGCCAAAAGCCAACCGCCAGCUGAAGGACUAAAAGGGAGUUGAAUAUAACUUGCAGAACGCUUUAAAAAUAAAUAUGCCAGCUGUGAAAAUUAAGGAGAAUAUAAUGAGAGUCUGUUGUGCAAGUUGGCAACAGAAAACAUUGCAAAUCAUAAAUAAU